rnacentral:misc_RNA from 1 species
GAUGAAGAACGCAGUGAAAUGCGAUAAGUAAUGUGAAUUGCAGAAUUCAGUGAAUCAUCGAAUCUUUGAACGCACAUUGCGCCCCUUGGUAUUCCAUGGGGCAUGCCUGUUCGAGCGUCAUUUGUACCCUCAAGCUUUGCUUGGUGUUGGGUGUUUGUCCCGCGUUGCGCGUGGACUCGCCUUAAAGCGAUUGGCAGCCGGCAUAUUGGCCUUGGAGCGCAGCACAUUCUGCGCUUCUAGUCAUGAAUGUUGGCGUCCAUUAAGCCUAUACAUUUGCUCUUGACCUCGGAUCAGGUAGGGAUACCCGCUGAACUUAAGCAUAUCAAUAAGCGGAGGA